GCCAGCAUGGCAUAGUGGUUUGAGUGUUGGACUACAACUCUGGGGACCAGGGUUCGAUUCCCAGCUCAACCA
rnacentral:tRNA from 1 species